GCGUCGUCUUCAGAGUUUGUAUCCUGGCUCAGGAUAAACGCUGGCGGCAUGCCUAAUACAUGCAAGUGGAACGAUUUACUUCGGUAAGUCGUCGCGAACGGGUGAGUAACACGUAGAUAACCUGCCUUACAGAGGGGGAUAACCAUUGGAAACGAUGGAUAAUACCGCAUAGAUACCUUCUAGGCAUCUAGGAGAGUAGAAAGGAGCAAUUGCUUCGCUGUGAGAUGGAUCUGCGGCGCAUUAGCUAGUUGGUGAGGUAACGGCCCACCAAGGCGAUGAUGCGUAGCCGGCCUGAGAGGGUGAACGGCCACAUUGGGACUGAGACACGGCCCAG
rnacentral:rRNA from 1 species